rnacentral:rRNA from 1 species
CUUGGUCAUUUAGAGGAAGUAAAAGUUGUAACAAGGUUUCCGUAGGUGAACCUGCGGAAGGAUCAUUAACAAAUCCAAUGCUUGUGAGAUGAUUUUAAUUAAUUGUCUUGCAAAUAUUAAUCCGCUAGCCUCGCAAGGGGUUAGUUGAUAGAUAACGAUAUAAAUAUGUGUAGUGUUGACAGUGUGCGAUAUUUAAUUAAUUAUUGACAACUUUUAACAAUGGAUCUCUAGGCUCUUGCAUCGAUGAAGAACGCAGCAAAAUGCGAAACGUGAUGCGAUUUGCAUGAAUCUGUGAGUCAUCUAAUCUUUGAACGCGAAUGGCACUGUUACGUAAGUAGCAGUAUGUCUGUUUGAGAAUCGCAAACACGAUCAACUCUAGUUAGAGUUGGGAUUGACCUCAUGCGCUGUUUAUAGCAGCAUUUGGUUUGAAUGAAUCAAGUUGAUGGGUUCCCCAGCAAUGCUCAAUGUGUGCUAGCGAGACAGUCGUCCCGAUCUCACAUUAGUGGUUUUGUUGCAGAGCUCUAAUCACGGCUUGUUUAAAUUUCUAUCUAUUACGAUCUCAAAUCAGGCAAGAUUACCCGCUGAACUUAAGCAUAUCAAUAAGCGGAGG